rnacentral:rRNA from 1 species
AUGAACGCUGGCGGCGUGCCUCAUACAUGCCAGUCGAGCGAACAGACGAGGAGCUUGCUCCUCUGACGUUAGCGGCGGACGGGUGAGUAACACGUGGAUAACCUACCUAUAAGACUGGGAUAACUUCGGGAAACCGGAGCUAAUACCGGAUAAUAUAUUGAACCGCAUGGUUCAAUAGUGAAAGACGGUUUUGCUGUCACUUAUAGAUGGAUCCGCGCCGCAUUAGCUAGUUGGUAAGGUAACGGCUUACCAAGGCAACGAUGCGUAGCCGACCUGAGAGGGUGGUCGGCCACACUGGAACUGAGACACGGUCCAGACUCCUACGGGAGGCAGCAGUAGGGAAUCUUCCGCAAUGGGCGAAAGCCUGACGGAGCAACGCCGCGUGAGUGAUGAAGGUCUUCGGAUCGUAAAACUCUGUUAUUAGGGAAGAACAAAUGUGUAAGUAACUAUGCACGUCUUGACGGUACCUAAUCAGAAAGCCACGGCUAACUACGUG